UACGUAGGCAGCAAGCGUUGUUCGGAAUUACUGGGCGUAAAGAGUGUGUAGGCGGUGUUCUAAGUCUGUUGUGAAAUCCCCGGGCUCAACCUGGGAACUGCAUCCGAAACUGCCUUGCUCGAGUAUGGGAGAGGGAAGUGGAAUUUCCGGUGUAGCGGUGAAAUGCGUAGAUAUCGGAAGGAACAUCAGUGGCGAAGGCGACUUCCUGGACCAAUACUGACGCUCAGGUGCGAAAGCGUGGGGAGCAAACAGG
rnacentral:rRNA from 1 species